rnacentral:tRNA from 1 species
GGUAGACGCUACGGACUUAAAAUCCGUUGGCUUUAUAGACCAUGAGGGUUCAAGUCCCUCUACCCCCA